UACGUAGGGGGCAAGCGUUGUCCGGAAUUACUGGGCGUAAAGGGCUCGUAGGUGGCCAACUAAGUCAGACGUGAAAUCCCUCGGCUUAACCGGGGAACUGCGUCUGAUACUGGAUGGCUAGAGGUUGGGAGAGGGAUGCGGAAUUCCAGGUGUAGCGGUGAAAUGCGUAGAUAUCUGGAGGAACACCGGUGGCGAAGGCGGCAUCCUGGACCAAUUCUGACGCUGAGGAGCGAAAGCCAGGGGAGCAAACGGG
rnacentral:rRNA from 1 species